CAGUCGCCGCGGUAAUACAGAGGGUGCAAGCGUUAAUCGGAUUUACUGGGCGUAAAGGGCGCGUAGGUGGUUAUUUAAGUGAGAUGUGAAAGCCCCGGGCUUAACCUGGGAACUGCAUCUUAUACUGGGUAACUGGAGUGCAGUAGAGGGUAGUGGAAUUUCCGGUGUAGCGGUGAAAUGCGUAGAUAUCGGAAGGAACACCAGUGGCGAAGGCGGCUACCUGGACUGAGACUGGCACUGAGGCGCGAGAGCGUGGGGGGCAAACAGGAUUAGAUACCCGCGUAGUCCCUGUCUCUUAUAC
rnacentral:rRNA from 1 species